UGCACGGGUACUCCAAGUUGGUGCCGUCUCACGUAUCAGGUUCGUCGGGGGGACGGGGACGUCUCGGGUACGCUUAGGAAACGUCCCCAAUAUGUGUGACGUGAACCCGGGACGUCAAGACUCACCGGGUACGGGAUUUGUUCAGAGAAAGAGACGUCUCGGAAACGUUUCUGCAGAAACUAGACUCUCGACCAUGGACCAUCUCUGUCUGUGAUAUCAGCAAGCAGAACACAUACCCACUUUCCUUCCCUUCUUGUCUCUUUGUUGUUUAUAUCACAAGCAACACACAUAAAGAAGAUGAAUUCUCAAUCUGAAAAUGGUGGUAGUGGCUCUGGUAAUGGAUCUACCAAAUCAUCAAGUGAAAAAGAAGA